AUAAAGGAUGAUGAUCACUGUAUUUUUCACUGUCCUUGUGUUCUACAAUCAUGAUUUGAGAUCACAAGGAGAUCUCAUUGUCCUGGAGUAGACAUAAUCUGAGUUGGGGGCUGUAAGAAUUUAUUUCUAAUACUUCUCUGAAUAUUUGGAUGAAUACUCAUGAAUUGAGAACAAAUCAGAGCCUUACACUUGUGACUUCUUUAUGUAAUUUUUCAGCUGCUUCUCCUUGAAGACAACAACAUACCAGCCCCAACCUCACAGAUGGUGUUAGUCAUCCUGAUAAUGCACCUCAGUUAAUAUUCAAGUCGGGAUCCAGCUACACUUACUUGCUUUGUGCAACAGGACCAGAUAUAGAUGGCAUUGUUGGCUCAAUGCUUUGCUGCCACAGUGCUGUGAAGACCAUCCUUUUCUAUGCCCGUAUGUGGUCCUGGGACUCCUGAAGACAGAGAUAAGCCUUCUGUUUCCAGUGAUCAUGGGCCAGAUGAAGCCAGCCUCAGGAUAAUAAACCAGGUGAUGGUUUCAUCUCCCAAGUGUGCUUCCUCGUUUAAAAAACAAAACACACAAGGACACCUAGUGUAUCGUGACCUACAGGGAGGGAGCCUGUCUGAGCACCAUCGAGUCAAUGCCUAAGAAGUAGACCCUGCAUUUAUGAAGAGGACUGUGGGCUGGGAACUUUCCUAGGACCCCUCUCAAUAGUUCUUCCUUUCUUAUGCAGAGUAACUUAUUUCCCCCAAACCCAUAUCCGAGCACCCUGUCUCUACAUAUUCAACAGGGGACCUUGCGAUUAUAAGGAUUAGUCUUUUGGUGGGUGGCAGGUUGAAUGGGGAGGGGAUGUUAAUAAGUAAUUUUGCUCCCUUCACACAUAAUUUUUAUUCAGUCAGAGUGUGGAAGAGUUUUUGCAACAGGUAGUGUUUUGUUUGUUUGUUUGAAAGAAGAGUCAUUGUGAUUAAAGAAAAAAUGUAAGCUUAUCUCUAUUUCCUUCUACUGCUGAAAAAUAGCUCCUUGACCUUCACUGGUCCAGACUUUCUGCUCUGGGCAACCCAUGGGGCAACACUGUUAAAUACAAUUCUUGAAAUUUUUUUCUAAACCUCUUUCUUUUUUUUUUUUUUUGAUAAAAAUCCUUAAUGCAUCUGUACUAGGAAGCACUCUACUUAUCAUAUGCUAUGCAUUGAAUAUUUGUUUCUGUUCAAUAUUCAUAGGUUGAAAUCCUUACCCUCAAACUGAUGGUAUUCAGAGAUGGGGCCCUAGUGGGUGAUGGGAUCUUGAAGGUAGAACCCUCUUCAAUGGGAUUGCUGCUCUUCUAUGGAAGAUCCCAGAGUGAUUUCCCAUCCCUCUGCCAUGUGGAGACAUAGCCAGAAGGCAAUGUCUGUGAACCAGGAACUGGGUUCUUACCAGAUACUAUUGGCACCUUGAUCUUGGACUUCCCGGCCUUCAGAACUGUGAGAAAUAAAUUUCUGUUGUUUAC
rnacentral:lncRNA from 1 species